GGGCGUAAGGGCUCGCAGGCGGUUUCUUAAGUCUGAUGUGAAAGCCCCCGGCUCAACCGGGGAGGGUCAUUGGAAACUGGGAAACUUGAGUGCAGAAGAGGAGAGUGGAAUUCCACGUGUAGCGGUGAAAUGCGUAGAGAUGUGGAGGAACACCAGUGGCGAAGGCGACUCUCUGGUCUGUAACUGACGCUGAGGAGCGAAAGCGUGGGGAGCGAACAGGAUUAGAUACCCUGGUAGUCCACGCCGUAAACGAUGAGUGCUAAGUGUUAGGGGGUUUCCGCCCCUUAGUGCUGCAGCUAACGCAUUAAGCACUCCGCCUGGGGAGUACGGUCGCAAGACUGAAACUCAAAGGAAUUGACGGGGGCCCGCACCAGCGGUGGAGCAUGUGGUUUAUUUCUAAACAACGCGAAGAACCUUACCAGGUCUUGACAUCCUCUGAC
rnacentral:rRNA from 1 species